CCAUCAGUUUAAAAUGCUGCCCCUCAGGGCAUUGAAGAGGAAAUGAAGAAGAUUUUCAGGAAGAAAAAAACCGCAAUGGGUCAGAUGUGUACGACUCUUGAGACCAGGAAUUGAAACUAGAAGAAGCCCUAAAAUGCAAGUAGGAAAUCCAAAGGAGUGAAGCAAGUCUGAUAGGAAUUCAUCGACAAUGAGAGUAAGGCAGCAAUGGCAACCAACAUUCAAUGUCAAGGACAGCUUUAAAAAGUGGUGGGAAUGAUGGCUCAAUAGAUAGAGAAAGGUCACCUGAUGACCUUGACCACUCCAUCCCGGGGGUCCCAUAUUACAAGGUCCUCUCUUUUCUCAGAGGAAGACAGAACUCUUUGUAUGGAAUCUCCUGAAUUUUAAUUGUUGCCAACUAAUUAUUUUUUAACUUUAACACUGAGGAGAAAAAAACAAGUACAUCCGUAUGCUAAGUGCAGCUUGGGAGCUGUGAGUUUGGCUCUUGCGGUCACAUUUAGGAUACUUGGCUUACUUACCUCUACGUGUGUGUACAAAACUAUUAGAGAACACGGCCCUGAAUUUGACAAUAAGAGGACACGGGUUUGUUUAAGCCUCAGCUUUGGAUGGUAUUGGCCACAUGCCCUUGGCCAACCCCAUCGUUCAUCUAAGCAUCUGCGUCCUCCUCUAUGUAAUAAGCAGUUACUUGUGUGUUACACUCAGGAAGACUUAAAAACCCCCUUUGCUUACACCCCCAACCUCGACAAUGCCAGGGAGCACCAAAUACACCUCUUCAGAAACAUGGAUCCAUAGUAAGGAGGUUGUAAUGACUUUUACUCACUCUUAGUCUCCAAACCUAUUUUACUUUUUUUUUUUUUUUUUUUUUUUUUUUAGGAAUUUCUACUUUUUUUGUAUGUGAGAC